rnacentral:rRNA from 1 species
GAUGAACGCUGGCGGCGUGCUUAACACAUGCAAGUCGGGCGGGCGGUGGUGUUUCCAGUGGCGGCCGGGUGAGUAACGCGUAAGAACGUGACCUUGGGAGGGGAACCCCAUCUGGCAGCGGCUGCUAAUAGAAACUAGGGCGAGGAGCAGAAGAAGGAUUCCGCCCCAUGAGGGGCUCGCGUCUGAUUGUCUAGUUGGUGAGGCAAUGGCUGACCAAGGCGACGAUGAGUGGCUGGUCCGAGUGGAACAUCAGCCACACUGCGACCGAGGCACGGCGCAGGCUACCUUGGGAGGCAGGAGUGGGGAUGUUUCAGCAAUGGGCGAAAGCCUGACGGGGCAAUGCGGCCGGAAGGCAGAGGGACUACGGGUCAUGAUCUUCUUUUCUCGGUGAAGAAAAAAUGACGGUACCUGAGGAAUAAGCAUCGGCUAACUCCGUG